AAGACUAUAGUCAAAUAAUAUGAUAUAUGAGUUGCAUUCAUAAGGUGUUUUUAUAAACUAGUUUUA
rnacentral:tRNA from 1 species